rnacentral:rRNA from 1 species
GAACGCUGGCGGCGUGCCUAAUACAUGCAAGUCGAGCGAAUGGAUUGAGAGCUUGCUCUUAUGAAGUUAGCGGCGGACGGGUGAGUAACACGUGGGUAACCUGCCCAUAAGACUGGGAUAACUCCGGGAAACCGGGGCUAAUACCGGAUAACAUUUUGAACUGCAUGGUUCGAAAUUGAAAGGCGGCUUCGGCUGUCACUUAUGGAUGGACCCGCGUCGCAUUAGCUAGUUGGUGAGGUAACGGCUCACCAAGGCAACGAUGCGUAGCCGACCUGAGAGGGUGAUCGGCCACACUGGGACUGAGACACGGCCCAGACUCCUACGGGAGGCAGCAGUAGGGAAUUUUCCGCAAUGGACGAAAGUCUGACGGAGCAACGCCGCGUGAGUGAUGAAGGCUUUCGGGUCGUAAAACUCUGUUGUUAGGGAAGAACAAGUGCUAGUUGAAUAAGCUGGCACCUUGACGGUACCUAACCAGAAAGCCACGGCUAACUACGUGCCAGCAGCCGCGGUAAUACGUAGGUGGCAAGCGUUAUCCGGAAUUAUUGGGGCGUAAAGCGCGCGCAGGUUGGUUUCUUAAGUCUGGAUGGUGAAAGCCCACGGCUCAACCGUGGAGGGUCAUUGGAAACUGGGGAGACUUGAGUGCAGAAGAGGAAAGUGGAAAUUCCAUGUGUAGCGGUAAAUGCGUAGAGAUAUGGAGGAACACCAGUGGCGAAGGCGACUUUCUGGGCUGUAACUGACACUGAGCGCGAAAGCG